rnacentral:rRNA from 1 species
ACGUAGGUGGCAAGCGUUGUUCGGAAUCACUGGGCAUAAAGCGCACGUAGGCGGCUGAGUAAGUCGGAUGUGAAAUACCUCGGCUCAACCGAGGAACUGCGUCCGAUACUGCUCGGCUUGAGGUCCGGAGGGGAGAGUGGAAUUCCCGGUGGAGCGGUGAAAUGCGUAGAGAUCGGGAAGAACGCCGGCGGCGAAAGCGACUCUCUGGUCGGAAUCUGACGCUGAGGUGCGAAAGCUAGGGGAGCAAACGGGAUUAGAUACCCCGGUAGUCCUAGCCAUAAACGAUGGGCGCUAGGUAGUGGUCGUUCCUAUGCGAUCACUGCUGGAGCAAAUGUCUUAAGCGCCCCGCCUGGGAAGUACGGUCGCAAGACUA